AAUCGAUGAAGGUUGGAAGGCAUCUCAACAGAUAGCUGGAAGACGGGAGGCGGAAAGUUGGGCGGCCUGGAGGGUCGAGUGCUCGCCGUACUCGCCCGUACCGGCCCAGCUUCCGCCCCUGCGGAUUUUUUUCCUGGCGAUGCUGAGGAGGACGCAACCAGUGAGUCGGAUGGAGGAGUCGGAUGUUGGAGUGCCC